ensembl:misc_RNA 7SK 7SK RNA
GGAUGUGAGGGCGAUCUGGCUGCGACAUCUGUCACCCCAUUGAUCGCCAGGGUUGAUUCGGCUGAUCUGGCUGGCUAGGCGGGUGUCCCCUUCCUCCCUCACCGCUCCAUGUGCGUCCCUCCCGAAGCUGCGCGCUCGGUCGAAGAGGACGACCUUCCCAGACUAGAGGAGUACCGUUCUUCGGUCAAGGGUAUACGAUAGCUGCGCUCCCCUGCUAGAACCUCCAAACAAGCUCAAGGUCCAUUUGUAGGAGAACGUAGGGUAGUCAAGCUUCCAAGACUCCAGACACAUCCAAAUGAGGCGCUGCAUGUGGCAGUCUGCCUUUCUUU